UCUCCUCCCUUCCUUCCUUCAUCUACGUCCUCAGCUUCUUCGGCAUCAACUCCGUCCAGUCCGGCAUCGACUCUGUCCAGUCCGUCCUCAGCUUGUUCGUCGAAGCAUUUCUAAACAGUGCCGUUCCGUCUUAGCCUCUGGAAUCAAAGCAAGAGAGCGGCGGCCAGUCGGCGCGACUCACUUCAGAGAACGACUCUGUUGUGGGAUUCGAAGGAUUUGCCUGUUGAAGGAUUCUAGGAGUCGCCGGUCGGAGACGAAGUAAUCUUACUUGUGAGCGAUUGCAUUUGGGGAGUUGAGCGACUAUUCAGAGUUGUGAUCGACAAGCAGGUCAUUUACUCGAGCCCCUCUUUUAUUUUUUGCUCUUCCAUGUUUUCAUUUGUGAAGUUUGUUUGAUUUUGGGCGAAAACAUAGAGGACCUACAUCGAUUUCCUGGCUUGAAGCCGUUGCAGCCUUAAACCGCUAAGUCGGGGUUUUAAGGCAAAAGAAAUCCAACCUUGUCCAGAGGUUAGAGACGGCGGGACUGUGGCAGGAGACGAAGGGCUGCUCUGAAAUUUCCGAUUCCUCGAAAUGAGAUGGAGCAAUAAGCAAUGUCAAGCAUUCCCCAAAUUGCAGAUAACCGAAAUAGCUUUCGUCUUCAAAUUUGAUCUCAAUCAGUAGAGAGUUAGGGAUUUGAUUUUCCAAUUUUGGGCGCGAAAAGGUGGACCAGAAAGAGAAGAUAAGGUCUCUUUGGAGCUGACAGAGGAGAUUAAUUGAAAGCAUGGAAGUUGGGCUGGCUUUCAGGGACUACGUUACUUGAUAGAAAAGAUUGAAUUUGAAAAUCUACUUCACAAAGCUUCAGUGUCUUUUUGUGCAACUCGAGUUGCUUCUUCAGGCCAUAUGGUGGGUAUUCGUAUCUCUUGGAGCCUCUGUGCUGGUUGGGAUUGAUUACAAACUAAUCAACUCUUGUAACGAACAAGCAGUAUGUGUUUUAUUCCAACAUUGGUAGCAGGACAUAAGUUAGAAGCUGCUAUUUAUCGAUAUUACUGGCAAAGUAGCUCUUGAUUCAUGCUGGUCAACUGGUGGAUUUACCGACUGUUUACUUCAGUAUGGUGCAUUGUUUGUUUAUGGAGUUGAUAUUGGAUAUGGCCAGGUUGCAGAUGAACUUGUAGCAGAGUUUUCUGACCCUAUCAAUGGUGUCACAUCCCCUGAUCAAAUUGACGAGGUGCGCAUUGAAUAAGUGGUUGAUUAUAUACAGAGUUUGAUGUAGGAAUGUGACUGCCAAGAUGUUUUUUGAGUAAGGCUAGCUAGUUUUGGCUUUGAAGCAAAGCUUGGUGUGGAACUUUUGUACAUUGUUGCUCGUAUGUUUCCAAGCUAGCUUUUGUAAGUUUAGGGGUUUAUUUUGUGAAUUAUGUUGAAUCAUGAAUUUGGAAAGAAAAUUAAUGGGAAAGCCCCUUAUUUUGGAUGAUGAGAAAUGCAAUUUUUUU
rnacentral:lncRNA from 1 species